CGCUGGAAACAGGAGCCCCGCCGGCUCGGAGGGACGGAGGACAAGCGGGCGGCUCGGCGCAGCGUAUCCACCCAUCCCUACCUUCUCCUCGUCGGACAGCUGCUCCUCCAGGACAAAGAUCAACUCUGGCCAAGCUCUGAGCCUGGCUCAGGUAGAGCUUCUGGCAAGAGGAGAGGAGUGCUCAGAAAGGUGGGGCAGCCUGUCCCUGAUACCUGCUCCUUUCCAUGGGAAGCACCUUCUUGCAUCCUGAUACCUGUUGGAAUAAAUCCUCAAGUUCCUGUGAGAUGGUAGGAGACAUACUCCAGUUCCUGAGAUUCCCGACAUCUGAUGGACAGAAACUGAAGUUAGAAUGGAAGUGGCUCCACAGAAGAGAAGAAGAGAGAGGGUAGUAGAAUGUCAUGAACUGAAUCCAGUGAGAAUGGAGUACAAAAAGGAGUGAAAAAAUGUACCAGGGAAAUUAUUGAGGGUAAGGUGGGUAUUAAUGAAAUAGGGAAUAUCAUGGUCAAAUGAAUCAUCUGUAAAAAGGUUUAAUUGAGUAUUUAAAGUUGGAUUAUUGGGUAAUAUUUUUGAUACUUAGCUGAUAAACACCUGAGUCUCAGCUCAUGACCCUCAGCUACCAUCAACAGGGAAGCACAUAAGCACUCCAAAGGUGAGAUUUUUCUGUUCUAGUUAAGACACUUGUCUUAGGACAUGAUUAUUGCCUAUAUGAGUUCAGACCCAGCUGUCUAAAUAUUAGGUACCUGUAUUAUGACAGCCAAAUGCCCUUUUACUAUUAGAAGAUCCAAAGGAAAGAAGGUGGUGGGCCAGUGAAGAGGCACAAGGGCUAAGGGAAGAACACAAGGGGCAGCUGAAGUUAAAAAGUUAAGGGAAAGGAGAGAGGACUGGACUUGUAGUUGAGCACUGCUCUGUGCUCCCUAGGGAAGCUGUACUCAAAGAGGGAAAUCACAUAUUUAUGCACAAAGGACUUUGUACCAAGAGGGCUGUACUUCUGUACUGCCUCUAUUGCAGCUCCUACUCAGACAUCAGGAAUGCUGUAUCAGUAGCUAUUGAUAAUAUGGAGAUAGAGCAGGGUUAGGAUUAGCAAAGGAAGAGGAUAGGCUAGGGGCUAGGAAACAGAGCAGAAUCAAAGUGUAAGGGUUCUGCACCCCAUAAAGGCUAAAGAGGGCCCUUAAGAUAACACUGUGCCUUACAGCAAGUCCAAAACUUCUCCAGCCUGAACCAGCCUUGCUCUCUUUCACUGUACCUAUUUGUUUGCCUUUGCUCUGUACCUGGAUAAAUUGAGAAAGUAAAACUGAGGAGAGCACUGUUUGCCCCAGCCAUCAGAUUGUUGCAGGAAUAGAACAGUAGCUCACAGGAUUUGAGCAGCCACCUGAUUUUGAAAAGCUCCAUGAGAAAACAUAAAAAUUCAUUUCCUUCCCUCUCACCAAACCUGGUUCUUGCUUGUAUUUUUAGUUAUUCCUUUCUUAAAAAAAA